GCGGAGGAAAAGAAAAUAACAAUGAUUUCCUUAGUAACGGCGAGUGAACAGGAAAAAGCUCAAAGUUGGAACCUGUUUGGCCUAGCUAAACCGGAUUGUAAACUGUAGAAGUGUUUUCCAGGCAAGCCGGACCGAUAAGUCCUUUGGAACAGGGCAUCAUAGAGGGUGAGAAUCCCGUCUUCGGUCUGAGCAUUUGCCUUUUGCGAUACACUUUCAAAGAGUCAGGUUGUUUGGGAAUGCAGCCUAAAUUGGGUGGUAAAUCUCACCUAAAGCUAAAUAUUGGCGAGAAACCGAUAGCGAACAAGUACCGUGAGGGAAAGAUGAAAAGAACUUUGAAAAGAGAGUUAAACAGUAUGUGAAAUUGUUAAAAGGGAACCGUUUGGAGCCAGACUGGCUUGUCUGUAAUCAGUCUAAGCUUCGGCUUGGAUGCACUUGCAGGCUAUGCCUGCCAACGACAAUUUGGCUUGAGGGAAAAAACUAAGGGAAAUGUGGCCCAUCCGUGGGUGUUAUAGUCCCUUAGAAAAUACCUUGGGCUGGAUUGAGGUACGCAGCGAAUGCUAUUUGGCGAGUUGGCUGGGAAUAUUUUCUGAGGUGCUUUGGUACUGAGGUUGAUAUUCCUAGUUACACUUCUAUUCGCUUAGGUUGUUGGCUUAAUGACUCUAAAUGAC
rnacentral:rRNA from 2 species